AUUGAACGCUGGCGGCAGGCCUAACACAAGCAAGUCGAACGAGUGGCGGACGGGUGAGUAAUGUAUGGGAAACUGCCCGAUGGAGGGGGAUAACUACUGGAAACGGUAGCUAAUACCGCAUACCAUCGGAUGUGCCCAGAUGGGCUUAGCUAGUAGGUGGGGUAACGGCUCACCUAGGGGCCGGUCCCUAGAUGGUCGGAGAGGAUGACCGGCCCAGCUGGAACUGAUGCACGGUCCAGACUCCUACGGGAGGCAGCAGUGGGGAAUAUUGCACAAUGGGCGCAAGCCUGAUGCAGCCAGGCCGCGUGUAUGAAGAAGGCCUUCGGGUUGUAAAGUACUUUCAGCGAGGAGGCGUUACUCGCAGAAGAAGCACCGGCUAACUCCGUGCCAGCAGCCGCGGUAAUAG
rnacentral:rRNA from 1 species